rnacentral:rRNA from 1 species
CCUACGGGUGGCAGCAGUGGGGAAUAUUGCACAAUGGGCGAAACCCUGAUCCAGCGACGCCGCGUGAGUGAAGAAGUCUUUCGGUAUGUAAAACUCUAUCAGCAGGGAAGAAAUAAAGUCCAUCGGACUUUGCACGGUACCUGACUAAGAAGCCCCGGCUAACUACGUGCCAGCAGCCGCGGUAAUACGUAGGGGGCAAGCGUUAUCCGGAUUUACUGGGUGUAAAGGGAGGGUAGGCGGCAGCGCAAGUCUGGAGUGAAAUCCCAUGGCUUAACCAUGGAACUGCUUGUGAAACUGUGGAGCUAGAGUGCAGGAGAGGUAAGCGGAAUUAGUAGUGUAGCGGUGAAAUGCGUAGAUAUUAGGAAGAACACCAGUGGCGAAGGCAGCUUACUGGACUGUAACUGACGUUGAGGCACGAAAGCGUGGGGAGCAAACAGGAUUAGAUACCCCAGUAGUC